AUUGAACGCUGGCGGCAGGCCUAACACAUGCACGUCGAACGAGUGGCGGACGGGUGAGUAAUGUCUGGGAAACUGCCUGAUGGAGGGGGAUAACUACUGGAAACGGUAGCUAAUACCGCAUACCAUCGGAUGUUCCCAGAGGGGAUUAGCUAGUAGGUGGGGUAAAGGCUCACCUAGGAGACUAGCCCUAGCUGGUAUGAGAGGAUGACCAGCCACACUGGAACUGAGACACGGUCCAUACUCCGACGGUAGGCAGCAGUGGGGAAUAUGGCAAAAUGGGCGCAAGCCUGAUGCAGCCAUGCCGCGUGUAUGAAGAAGGCCUUCGGGUUGUAAAGUACUUUCAGCGGGGAGGCGUUACCCGCAGAAGAAGCACCGGCUAACUCCGUGCCAGCAGCCGCGGUAAUAC
rnacentral:rRNA from 1 species